rnacentral:piRNA from 1 species
UCCUUGUGUACUUGAACAAUGAGCUAGCUC